UACAGAGGGUGCGAGCGUUGUCCGGAAUCACUGGGCGUAAAGGGCGCGUAGGUGGCAGGGUAAGCGUGCGGUGAAAGCCCGGAGCUCAACUCCGGGUCGGCCGUGCGAACUGCUCUGCUCGAGCACUGUAGAGGCAGGUGGAAUUCCGGGUGUAGCGGUGGAAUGCGUAGAGAUCCGGAAGAACACCGGUGGCGAAGGCGGCCUGCUGGGCAGUUGCUGACACUGAGGCGCGACAGCGGUGGGGGAGCAAACAGG
rnacentral:rRNA from 1 species